GACGUGUCUAUUGUCUGUUGCCGUUCUUAGGGUCUGCUCUUCUCUGGACCACGGUUCAAUAGAAAUAACUCAUGCAUUGCUAAUUCCCUACUUGAAGGCUACUGCUGUGAAGGCACCUGUCAUGGAAAACUUCACGAGUGAGCAAAUAUCAGGUUUCUGGCAAGCACCGACAUACACGAGUGAUUCAGAACAUGUGCUUUGUAUCUAGGUUGUCUUGGUCUAGAGCUUUUAUCGCCUCUUCACAAUCUAUUAGAAAAAAAACUUUUACCUGAAUCAUCAUGUUGAAGAUAUAUUCCUAUCAUUACACAUACUUGAUAUUUAAUGUCAUGUGUACUGCAUAAUCUUUUGUACUCUAUCCACUUACCCAGGAUUCUAUGAUCUCCAAUGAUAGUGGAAUUGGACUCGAAAAAUUUAUCAGUAGCUUAGCUUUGUUUGAAUAAUAAGUAGAAAGUAAAAAAAUUAAUUGUACAAACCAAUAAAGCUCUAAAUAAGUUUAAGUUCAUAAUGCAGAUUGGUCCCUACAAAGGGAGUUUUUUUUUGUUGCAUUGCUUGCUUUAUUUUGUAUGUUGCUCUUUUCCACAGUCGACCAGGAGACAAAUUUGGUAUCAACCCUUGUCCUUGAUCUUUGCAGAAGAGGUUUUUGUUCUUUUAUUUGAUAUAUUGGUGCUAAAAGACAAGUCAUGAGUCAGUGGCAGGGUAGUCGAGAUGGAUCUAUCUAAGUACUUAUAUAAGUAUGUUGUUGGUCUGCUUGCUUUGGUUUAUCCAGUUUUUGCCUUUAAAUGAACUAACUCAAAUUCGUAUUUAUGCUUGAUGGGUGAUUGGAUAUGAGAUCUUCAGAAAGGUGGUUUUAUUUACACAAGUAAACGCAAAUUCACGUCGUUUAGUUAUGGUGUGUGUAUAUACAGUUGAUGCUGCACUGAUGUAUAACUUGAUGUUUCUGAAACCCUAAAAAAACUUGGUGUUUCUGCAACUUCUAGAGUGUUUGUUUGGUAAAUGUCAUCGGUGACUUCCCUGAUAUUUCAGGUGCUCAAUUUGCAAAGCUUCUCAAACAGCUAGGUUGUUUAUCUAUUAUUUUACUCUCCAUGUCAUCUCUGCAUCUUUUUUCUUCAGUUUUGUUAUGUGGUUUGCUAUGCAACCUUCGGUGUUGUGGUGCAUAUAACUUCUCAUGGUCUCAUUUCUGGUAGCAAAGCUAUAGCCUUUUGUUGCUUCAUCAGCAUUGCUUACUUUUACAUGGGAGUAGCUUGGCUUUAAAGCACCCAUCCUCAUAGAACCAUCAUUAGAAUGAGCAAAGCGCCACUUCAUUUAGAGAAGAAAGGAAGGAGAAGAAUGGCUCUAUUCCUUGAUGCUGAAGUCCUUGAAGUAAUUACAUGAAGGUGAGGGAGUACAUUCCAAUCGCUUGCGCGGGAGAGGCUGUAUGCUCAUGCUAUUUGUUUCUUGGCUUUUGUGUUGUUGCUACCUGUAUCUGUUGUAUUACUAUGGUGGACUGUGAGAUGUAUGUCGCUGGUUGUGUCUA